CAACCUGCCCACCACUUGGGGAUAACCUUGCGAAAGUAAGACUAAUACCCAAUGACGUCUCUAGAAGACAUCUGAAGGAGAUUAAAGAUUUAUCGGUGAUGGAUGGGGAUGCGUCUGAUUAGCUUGUUGGCGGGGUAACGGCCCACCAAGGCGACGAUCAGUAGGGGUUCUGAGAGGAAGGUCCCCCACAUUGGAACUGAGACACGGUCCAAACUCCUACGGGAGGCAGCAGUGAGGAAUAUUGGUCAAUGGACGAGAGUCUGAACCAGCCAAGUAGCGUGCAGGAUGACGGCCCUAUGGGUUGUAAACUGCUUUUAUAAGGGAAUAAAGUUAGUCUCGUGAGACUUUUUGCAUGUACCUUAUGAAUAAGGACCGGCUAAUUCCGUGCCAGCAGCCGCGGUAAUACGGAAGGUCCGGGCGUUAUCCGGAUUUAUUGGGUUUAAAGGGAGCGUAGGCCGGAGAUUAAGCGUGUUGUGAAAUGUAGACGCUCAACGUCUGCACUGCAGCGCGAACUGGUUUCCUUGAGUACGCACAAAGUGGGCGGAAUUCGUGGUGUAGCGGUGAAAUGCUAGAUAUCACGAAGAACUCCGAUUG
rnacentral:rRNA from 1 species